UACGUAGGGGGGCAAGCGUUAUCCGGAAUUAUUGGGCGUAAAGCGCGUGUAGGCGGCCUUGCAAGUUGGGUGUGAAAGCCCUCGGCUUAACCGAGGAAGUGCGCCCAAAAACUACAGGGCUUGAGUACCGGAGAGGGUGGCGGAAUUCCCCGGUGUAGAGGUGAAAUUCGUAGAUAUCGGGAGGAACACCAGUGGCGAAGGCGGCCACCUGGACGGAUACUGACGCUGAGACGCGAAAGCGUGGGUAGCAAACAGG
rnacentral:rRNA from 1 species